rnacentral:rRNA from 1 species
AACGAACGCUGGCGGCAUGCCUAACACAUGCAAGUCGAACGAGACCUUCGGGUCUAGUGGCGCACGGGUGCGUAACGCGUGGGAAUCUGCCCUUGGGUUCGGAAUAACAGUUGGAAACGACUGCUAAUACCGGAUGAUGACGUAAGUCCAAAGAUUUAUCGCCCAGGGAUGAGCCCGCGUAGGAUUAGCUAGUUGGUGGGGUAAAGGCCUACCAAGGCGACGAUCCUUAGCUGGUCUGAGAGGAUGAUCAGCCACACUGGGACUGAGACACGGCCCAGACUCCUACGGGAGGCAGCAGUGGGGAAUAUUGGACAAUGGGCGAAAGCCUGAUACAGCAAUGCCGCGUGAGUGAUGAAGGCCUUAGGGUUGUAAAGCUCUUUUACCCGGGAUGAUAAUGACAGUACCGGGAGAAUAAGCCCCGGCUAACUCCGUG